rnacentral:rRNA from 1 species
AUGAACGCUGGCGGCGUGCCUAAUACAUGCAAGUCGAGCGAACAGACGAGGAGCUUGCUCCUCUGACGUUAGCGGCGGACGGGUGAGUAACACGUGGAUAACCUACCUAUAAGACUGGGAUAACUUCGGGAAACCGGAGCUAAUACCGGAUAAUAUAUUGAACCGCAUGGUUCAAUAGUGAAAGACGGUUUCGCUGUCACUUAUAGAUGGAUCCGCGCCGCAUUAGCUAGUUGGUAAGGUAACGGCUUACCAAGGCAACGAUGCGUAGCCGACCUGAGAGGGUGAUCGGCCACACUGGAACUGAGACACGGUCCAGACUCCUACGGGAGGCAGCAGUAGGGAAUCUUCCGCAAUGGGCGAAAGCCUGACGGAGCAACGCCGCGUGAGUGAUGAAGGUCUUCGGAUCGUAAAACUCUGUUAUUAGGGAAGAACAAAUGUGUAAGUAACUAUGCACGUCUUGACGGUACCUAAUCAGAAAGCCACGGCUAACUACGUG